CGACCUCGGCGACCCCUCACU
rnacentral:miRNA from 1 species